rfam:Lupinus angustifolius cultivar Tanjil chromosome LG01, whole genome shotgun sequence.
GGGUGCAUUACUGGGCAAUGACUUCUUUGGCUGAAAGCAAUUGAACUGCAUGUCAUUUAAGUGAUUAGUCUGAGAAGCUAAGCUCACUGCCAAAGAAGAUUUGCCCAGCAAUUCACCC